GACGAACGCUGGCGGCGUGCUUAACACAUGCAAGUCGAACGGUAAGGCCCUUCGGGGUACACGAGUGGCGAACGGGUGAGUAACACGUGGGUGAUCUGCCCUGCACUUCGGGAUAAGCCUGGGAAACUGGGUCUAAUACCGGAUAGGACUCCGGACUGCAUGGUCUGGGGUGGAAAGCUUUUGCGGUGUGGGAUGGGCCCGCGGCCUAUCAGCUUGUUGGUGGGGUGAUGGCCUACCAAGGCGACGACGGGUAGCCGGCCUGAGAGGGUGACCAGCCACACUGGGACUGAGAUACGGCCCAGACUCCUACGGGAGGCAGCAGUGGGGAAUAUUGCACGAUGGGCGCAAGCCUGAUGCAGCGACGCCGCGUGAGGGAUGACGGCCUUCGGGUUGUAAACCUCUUUCAGUAUCGACGAAGCGAAAGUGACGGUAGGUGCAGAAGAAGGACCGGCCAACUACGUGCCAGCAGCCGCGGUAA
rnacentral:rRNA from 1 species